GUCAGGGUUGGAAAUAUUCGUGUAAAAUCGCGCGGGGUGGUAGCGCCCGAAGCAUAGGCUCUGCUUAUCGGGGCCGCUGUCUGUGAACACUCUAGCAGUGGUUUGAUGGUCCUAGGCCCUAUUGUCUGGGAGCUAUUGAACAUUGAAAGCGUUAGCCGGCUGCAUUUUUUUCCGGUCGGCGGCUUAAAGUCAGGGUUGGAAAUAUUCGUGUAAAAUCGCGCGGGGUGGUAGCGCCCGAAACAUAGGCUCUGCUUCUCGGGGCCGCUGUCUGUGAACACUCUAGCAGUGGUUUGAUGGUCCUAGGCCCUAUUGUCUGGGAGCUAUUGAACUUUGAAAGCGUUAGCCGGCUGCAUUUUUUUCCGAUCGGCGGCUUAAAGUCAGGUUUGGAAAUAUUCGUGUAAAAUCGCACGGGAUCGUAGCGCCCGAAGCAUAGGCUCUGCUUCUCGGGGCCGCUGUCUGUGAACACUCUAGCAGUGGUUUGAUGGUCCUAGGCCCUAUUGUCUGGGAGCUAUUGAACUUUGAAUGCGUUAGCCCGCUGAAUUUUUUUCCUAAUGGCGGCUUAAAGUCACAGUUUGAAAUAUUUGUGUAAAAUCCCGCGGGGUGGUAACGUCUGAAGCAUGGGCUCUGCUUCUCGGGGCCGCUGUCUGUGAACACUCUAGCAGUGGUUUGAUGGUCCUACGCCCUAUUGUCUGGGAGCUAUUGAACUUUGAAAGCGUUAGCCGGCUGCAUUUUUUUCCGAAUGGCGGCUUAAAGUCACAGUUGGAAAUAUUAAUGUAAAAUCGCGUUAAUAAUGCCCAAAACAUAGGCUGUGCAUCCCAUGGCCAUUGUUUGUGCAAUGUUACUUUCAUUCACUCUGUUUAACCCUCUGGGGUCGAGAGCUCCGCCGGCGGAGCUCGACAAGAUUUCGUUGCUAUUUGGAUGAAUAACUUCGCGAGCUUUUAUCAUACGGACACAACAAAGACAUUGACAUGAACCUUUGAAUCGUGGCAUUCCAAUGUGCCCAUUGACAUAAUAAUAUGAAUUGUUUUAAGCUAUUUAAAAUGAGAUCAAACAGACCAUUGCCAUGUGCUAAGUCUUUCUCAUUAAUAUGUGAUUUUCGCUCGGCAGUAAGUACGCCCAGACCACAUUCACAAGAUAAUGACAUGCUAAUUGCUAUCGAUGGCAGGGGAGGGGCGAUGCGUUUAUGUGCGAGAGCGCCUACUGUAAACAAGGAUAAAAUAGGGGCGACAUAGCUCAGGAGGUAAGACCGAUUGUCUGGCAAUCGGAGGGUUGCCGGUUCAAACCCCGCCCUGGGCAUGUCGAAGUGUCCUUGAGCAAGACACCUAACUCCUAUCCCCUAACUGCUCUGGCGAAUGAGAGGCAUCAAUUGUAAAGCGCUUUGGAUAAAAGCGCUAUAUAAAUGCAGUCCAUUUACCAUUUACCAAAAUGUCACACAGAAGCAUAGCCCACGUCUUCUCGGGCAAUCCUUACAUUUCAUUUCGGAAAAUGGCACGAAUGACUGGACUGGAUGUUCUUCAUGCUUUGUGGGAGAGCGACCAUGAAGACGCGAACUCAUCAGGUCCGGACACUGAAGCUGACACUGAUGAAGAACGGUGUCAUUUCGAACUGCGAACUGAUCCAGCUGAGGAUCAACUUCAUGAAGAUGCUGAUCAGGUAACACGGCCUAGUUUACCACCUGCUAAGAGGCGACGCAAGCGUGGCAAGAGGACACCAGUCAGCAAGCAGCAAGCAGCUCAGCCAGCUCGGUCAUGGAAAACUGAGAAAUCUGCUGAUGUGGCCCCACCGGUGAUGCGUUUCCGUCCUGCGCGGCAACCUGGAGUGCAGCUGAGCUCGGCAGAAGCCCACACUCCUCUGGAUUUGUUCAAACUAUUUUUCUCUACAGAUGCUGUCAGGACACUGUGCAAGAACACCAACGAGCAUGCUGCCAGGGCAAUAGCAAAAGGGAGCAAGUAUAAAUGGACUGACAUUGGGAUAGAGGAAUUCUACAGGUACAUUGGACUGAUUUUUUACAUGGCCAUGGUAAAGCUGGACCAAAUCAGAGAUUACUGGUGGCAAAGUAGCAUUUUCUCUGUCCCAUUCCCAGCAACCGUAAUGACAAGGGACAGAUACAGAACUAUUUGCUGGAAUGUACACGAGUGAUGCAGACAAGGACCAAGAAAAUGACAGGAAGCGUGGCACACCGCAGCAUGACAAACUUUUCCGGGUCAGGCCUCUCAUGGACACAAUUCAGCAAAGCCUGCAAAGCCGUCUAUCAUCCUCGCAGGAACCUUGCAGUGGAUGAAAGAAUGGUAGCAACCAAAGCAAAGACUGGUAUGACACAGUACAUGAAAGAAAAGCCAACAAAGUGGGGUUUCAAGUUGUUUGUGCUUUGUGACUCCAGCAAUGGAUACACUGUGGAUUUUGCUGUGUACACAGGAAAGAACAGCUUUCAGACAGGACAAGGACUUUCAUAUAACUCUGUAAUGUCACUUGUGAAUCGUGCAUUCUUGGGUUCCGGAUAUUAUGUGUACAUGGACAAUUUCUAUACGAGCCCAAAGCUCUUCAGGGACUUGUAUGGACAAAACUUUGGUGCUUGUGGGACAUAUAGGGAGAACAGGAAGGAAUGUCCACGCACUGCAUGUAAUGCUCUGACUAAGAAGUCAGGAAGAGGAGCUUUACGGUGGAUAAGGGAUGGUCCUCUGGUUUUUGUGAAGUGGAUGGACACACGAGAGGUGUCUGUCUGUUCCACCAUCCAUGCAGCAUUCACUGGGGACACAAUACAGCGGAGGGUGAAGCAAGAUGGUGUCUGGAUUUCAAAGAACUUUCCAUGCCCAUCACCUAUCAUCCAGUACAAUGCACACAUGGGGGGUGUUGAUCUGUCUGACCAACUGAUACAGUAUUACACAACACAGCACAAAACAAUGAGAUGGUACCGGAAAUUGUUUUUACAUUUCUUGGACAUUGCUGCCACAAAUGCAUACAUCCUACAUAAAGAACUGUCAUCAUUGGGACAACAGGAAGCAAUGCCUCACAAGGCUUUCAUGGAGGAGCUCACUGCGCAGCUGUGUGGCGUCUCACAGAAGGCACCUAAUGUAACAAGACGGGAAAGUUAUGGUCAUGUGCCUGUGCCUACAGCCUCGCAGACUCUGGAUGCCAGCAAGGUGGCUUCAAUUGGUCGCAAGACAUGCAAACUCUGCAGGAUGGACUUCGGGAAAAAACAGAACACUCCAUGGAAGUGCAAGGAGUGUGAUGUCCCCCUGUGUUUACAGCCAGACAGGAACUGUUUUGCAAAAUGGCACUUGCAACUUUGAAAGAUUAUACACAAAAUAUAUAAAAUAAUGGUGUAUAUUGUGUAGGUGCUCUUUUUACAUUAAGCACUUUUUAUAUUCAUUGGCUUUUGUGUUUGUUGUUUUGUAAGGCACUUGUGCCAACCAUUCUGGAGUCAAAUUGUGUGUGUGAAGCAGAAAUAUUGGGUUUAUAUUGUGUAAAUGCUCUUUUAUAUUAUGCACUUUGCCUAAUAAAGUUGAUUCUGAUUCUGAAAUAA